AGAGAGAGAGAGAUAAAGUUGGGAGAGAAAAAGAUGAAGAGAGAGAGAGGGAGACUGAAGUUUGCUGAAUAAACUGCUGUUAGAAGGACUGGUGGUCGUGUCGUUCUUGUUGGUCGAGAGUGGACGUGACAAUUGGUGGCCCAUUCGGGGAACCGACUCCCCCACCAACGAGUUCAGAACUUUCAGCAGUCAGUGUUUGCCAGCAGGGAUCACAACAGCUGUGGGUCCCAGAACGGCUGACCAGAGCAAUUCAAAACAAGCAGAGCUAUGAGGACGUGGAUGUUCCUGUGGCUGGGAAUGCUCCCGCUAGUGAGAACUGAAGAGCUAUGUUGGGGAAUUAUGUCUGUGUUCCUGAGGCCCAUGCCAUUGAUGCAUUCAAGUGUUUCCUCAAUUCUUUACAUCUAAUGCUUCACUACAAUUGCCUUUUUUCUAUGCUGCUUCAGCUAAAGGGAUUGUUGCGUUUUCAGAUGAUUCAAAAAUAUUUCACAGAUGAGUGAUUGUGUUCAGCUGUAUCUACUAAAGCUAAUGCUACCUGGAUUCCAGGGGUGUGGCCUGCCAGUAUAUCCAAGGGCAAUGGUACUAUACCCUCCCAACCUAGAUGGGCCCCCCUUUUCUUUUUGUAGUAGUGUUCCUGAUUCCCUUCCACCUUGGGCAGUGCCCCUUAUAUCUAUGGUUGUUAUGUGGGGUGAAUGGUAGUUGCACUGAUCUUUCCCCCUUAAGCCAGGUGGCUGGAAGGGCCUGAGAUAAUGCAAAUUUUAUUGGAAAGGUUCUAAUGUGUUUGAAACUUCUGUAUUUCAAUUUGCUCAAGGAAGGAAUGUUUCUUUUCAGGC
rnacentral:lncRNA from 1 species